AAAUGUAACUGCUCUUACAAUAAUGCCACCACUUGCCACAUUAUUGCUCUGUAUAAACAUCUGGCGAAGCGAGGAAUGGACAUCCCGCGAAUCACUCUCAAACUAUCGGAGUCUUAUAAGCAGUCUCGAACAAAUGAGGUCUUACAGUUAAGCUCAACGAUAGUGAGAGACGAGGAAUAAACAUCUUGCGAAGCCAGGUGGCGAAGUGGGAAAUGGACAUCUUGCGAAUCACUCUCAAACUAUCGGAGUCUUAUAAGCGGCAUCGAAUAAACGAGCUUUUACAACUAAGCUCAACGAUAGUGAGAUCAAGGAAUAAACAUCUUGCGAAAUCAGGUGUAAACAUCUGGCGAAGCGGGGAAUGUACAUCCCCCGAAUCACUCUCAAACUAUCGGAGUCUUAUAAGCGGCCUCGAACAAACGAGGUCUUACAGCUAAGCUCAACAAUAGUGAGAUGCGAGGAAUAAACAUCUCGCGAAAUCAGGUAUAAACAUCAGGUGAAACGAGGAAUGGACAUCCCGUGAAUCACUCUCAAACUAUCGGAGUCUUAUAAGCGACCUCGAACAAACGAGAUCUUAUAGCUAAGCUCAACGAUAAUUAGAGGCGAGGAAUAAACAUCUCACGAAGCUAGAUCUAGCGAAGUGGGGAAUGGACAUCCCGCGAAUCACUCUCAAACUAUCGGAGUCAUAUAAGCGGCUUUGGACAAACGAGGUCUUACAGCUAAACUCAACGAUAGUGAGAUGCGAGAAAUAAACAUCUCGCGAAGCCAGGUAUAAACAUCUGGCAAAGCGAGGAAUGGACAUCCCACGAAUCACUCUCAAACUAUUGGAGUCUUAUAAGCGGCCUCGGACAAACGAGGUCUUACAGCUAAGCUCAACGAUAGUGAGAUGAAAGGAAAAACAAUCUUGCGAAGCCAAGUAUAAACAUCUGACGAAAUGGGGAAUGGACAUCCCACGAAUCACUCUCAAACUAUCGGAGUUUUGUAAGCGGCCUCAAACAAACGAGGUCUUAUAGCUAAGCUCAACAAUAGUGAGAGGCGAGGAAAAACCAUCUCGCGAAACCAGGAAAUGCCCUUUUUUUCAAGGGCAAACACAUCUGACCAUCAGCUUCUUCCUUUAUUCAAAGAACGAGGUCUCCAAAACAUUGCAUAUGAUAAGAAGAAAAUAAUAGAUCUGAAUAUUCACAUCAAUGGGCUCCCAAGCAUGUCUAUCAAAUCAUAUCCAGUUUAAUUAGCGCCCAAUAACCAUGAAACUCCAUUAAUUCCCAGUUUGUCGAGUUAAGAUUUGUUAUUUAAUUACCAAACAAAUCAUACGAAAAUGAGGUAGUUAGAAUUUGACUAUCAGAUAAUAAUUUUCACAUGAGUGGAAAUUUUCAAAUGAGCCUGUAAUAAAAACCUCAAGUUUCCUGCCAUGCUCUACCCUUGAAGAAAUAUUAACAAUGGAAGAAAAUCAUCUCUCACAUAUUUUGUCACCUUUUUCUGAACGAGAUAGACCAAGCUGAACAAGUAGAAAUGGUGGCCUGAUGAUCAAAGACUUGGAAUAUUCUUUUUCUACUAGCUUAUUUCUAAUUCUCCAAGUCAAAUAUUUCUGUUCUUUUUCCAUGUGAUUUAGAAUAAACGGCAGGCCAAAAUGGAAGCAAGAGAGGACACCCAGCCAAUAAAAUUUAUACAAGAACGAAGCUGAAGUAGUGUGACCAUAGCUCCCAGCCGUAGUGUAUGUCUCUUGGGUAAACUAGAAAGACCCAAUGGCUAACAAAUUAUGGCCCAAAAGAAAUAAGUCUCAAUGCCCAAUUGUUCAUAAUAAAUGGCAGCCCAAUCUCUUUGACAAAAAGGAAGUGUCAUGAGGCCCAAGUAAAAUAAAUCCUUGGGCCCAAGAAGGCAAAAUAACGGCCCAUUAAAGAAAUUAAAGAACAUAACUAGAGCUUUAUAAAGGAAAGUGGGCCUCUUUCCUAAGGGAAGUAAAAUUAAUUGGCCCAAUUAUUAUUUAUGUAGGAAUGGGAAUAAAAUUUAGGUGGCCCAAUAAUUAUCCAUUCAAGUUCAAAAAAACAUGGGAAAUAAAUUCACAGGCCCAAUUAUACAUACCCGUUUAGUGGAUCUCCAUAAGAGGUCUCCAAGCCCUUUUUUUUUUUGUAAACUCGUUGAACCAAAUUUUGAAAAAAUAAAGCCCCAUCACUUUAUGGGACAACCCGGCCCAACAAGAUGGCAUUAAAUGGCACGUGAUCCAGCUAAAGUCUGGAGAAGAUUUGAGUCUGCAGAACAGCUGGAAGAAAGACAAGAUUGCCUGUCGGAGGUUGGUACAUGUUGAUUGGGCUGCCUCUCUAUUCUUAGCUGGCCCAAUCUUAGUAAUAUUGAGCCUUGCCAGGUUGGUUGAUUCCACGGGUUGAAAUUGGUUUGGAAAUUAAAAGCGUUUCUUGGAAACGCGUUUUUCCUUUAUAAUGGGCAACUGUUGUGGACCUUACACUUGGCAUCCUUGUGAUCGUUGGAUCCUUGAUUUUUACUGGACUGUUAAAAGUCUUCUGACCUUUCACUUUCGCCCUAAUCUGAGUGAACGGUUCUAGGGUUUUCUUCGUCCUCUCUGAGGGUCUUUGGACUCUUCUGUUCUUGCAAUUUUCUGAAAGCAAUAUCUAAUUUGAGUGAUGUUAGGGUUGUAUUUGGUAUAUGAUAUGUGAGAUUGUAGAAAACGGAGUGUUGUGUUAAAGAGAGGCGAAAGAAAACUGAAAUUGAAGGAACUGUUGUUUCUUCAUACAUUCUUGUAUCGAUUCUUUGUGAUUCUUAGUGGAUUUGAGCCUAAUUUACUUUUGUAGAUGCUCAAGGGUGAGUAGGCCUUUUGGCUGGACAUUCGUCCCCUUAGGGGCGAAAAAUUCUUGUGUUCUUUACGAUUCUGUAAUUCUUUAUUGUGUGCUACAAUCGUUUUUAAGUGAAAUAAUAAUUCUGAGACCAACAAGUGGUAUCAGAGCAGUUUACGAAGGGUUAGGGUUUUUUCUUUGAAUUUUCUUUUUAAAUUUUUUUUAAAAACCCUAGAUCUUAGAUUUUUUGGUUAAAUCUUAAAUCGAGUACACUUUGUAAAAAUCUCUUACAAGAUUUACCUUCGGUUCAAUUUUUGUUGGAUCUUUUUCAACUACGAACUUUGUGAUACUUCUUUGUGAUAUUAUUUAUGAUGAUUAUUGUAUUUUUCUUAUUUUUUUGAGGCUUCUGAAUCUUUGAGUGAUGUUUCAUAAAGAUUCAUACUGAGUAAUAGUGAGUCUACUCGACUCAUUCCGAUUCCUGCUGAUUUCUUGUUGAUCGGUAUUAAAUGGCACGCUGCAAGUGCACAGGUCGCGAUCAAGUAGUAUAAUGGACCUUUUAAGUCCCAGUCGAUCCCUCAGAGAGUGUUGUUUUCAAUUACGAGUGUAUUUUUUUCAAAUUAAUGAAAAAGAUGCACACAUUUAAAAGUUCGAUUUUUAAAAACUAUAAAAAGGUGAAAACUCGAUUUUGAUUUAAAAUAUUUAAAUAAUAUUUAAAAAGUGGAAAAGUUUGAUUUUAAAAGAUGUUGGAAUUUAUGAUUUCGCUUAACCCUUUUCAAGCCAAUUAUGCGUCGAUGCAAAUUACCAAAAUAUGUGGUUAGACCCGAUUUUUCAAAAUUAGUCAAUAACCUUUGUUGAGAGAUAUCAACCCUAAUUGCUUGGCAUUAACAUAUUUCUAUGUCGUUCUAAACCAAACAACUGCAUUUAAUUUUUGUGAAAAUAACUCAACGGGUCACAUAGGGUAAGUAUACGUGUCUGGAUAGCGUAUAGUCGAAACCAUACAAACCUAUGGUAUUAAUUAUUUCGGUCUAUUAUGUGUAACUAUUUUUCAAUAAUUAUACAACUACCUAACCACAAUAUCUAUUGACGUCAAAUAAAUGUAGUAAUCUUAAACAUGAUAAUUAAUACACCAAUAUUUUGAUAACAAAUGCAUAUCUAACAACAUAUAACACGAUAUUAAUGAAAAUAGGUUAAGCUAAUACAUAAAUUCCAACAUAAACUUGUUUAGUUCAUCAUUCUAACAAAAUAACAAAAAGAUUCUUAUAAACAUAUCAUUACAAACAUGAAGAACUAAAUGAAAGGAAUACAAAAGUUGAGAUAAAACACUUUUAAAUACGAAUUGUAAUUCCUUCAAUGUAUUCUUCAAGCUUUCCUUAAUGAUCUCCUUGCUAUAUCCACUUGAUUCCCAAAAUAAAACUAAAAUUAACAAAAGAAAAUAAAACUAAAA